rnacentral:rRNA from 1 species
CGUAGGGUGCGAGCGUUGUCCGGAAUUACUGGGCGUAAAGAGCUCGUAGGUGGUUUGUCGUCGUCGUGUGUGAAAUUCCGGGGCUUAACUUCGGGGUUGCAUACGGAUACGGGCAUAACUUGAGUGCUGUAGGGGAGACUGGAAAUUCCUGGUGUAGCGGUGAAAUGCGCAGGAUAUCAGGAGGAACACCGGAAUGGCGAAGGCAGGUCUCUGGGCAGUACUGACGCUGAGGAGCGAAAGCAUGGGGGAGCGAACAGGAUU